rnacentral:sRNA from 1 species
UUUCGUUAAAAAGAUACAACCAUUUAGAAGUGCUUACGAAAGAAACGACACAACCGUAAAUAUU